GACGAACCGUGCGAACGUUGUUCGGAAUCACUGGGCUUAAAGGGCGCGUAGGCGGGUUUGCAAGUCUGUGGUGAAAGCCCCCAGCUUAACUGAGGAAGUGCCGUGGAUACUGCGAAUCUUGAGGAGGGUAGGGGCGUCUGGAACGGUCGGUGGAGCGGUGAAAUGCGUUGAUAUCGACCGGAACUCCGGUGGCGAAGGCGGCGUCCUGGACCAACACUGACACUGAUGAGCGAAAGCCAGGGGAGCAAACGGG
rnacentral:rRNA from 1 species